GCCUUCGUCGUGUAAUGGUAACAUACUCGGCGCAUAUUCGAGAGGUCCAGGUUCGAGUCCCGGCGAGGGCA
rnacentral:tRNA from 1 species